CCCUUAGAUGUUCUGGGCCGCACGCGCGCUACACUGAUUCAUGCAACAAGUUUUGUCCUUGGCUGAUAGGCCUGGGUAAUCUUUGAACGUGAAUCGUGAUGGGGAUAGAUGAUUGCAAUUAUUCAUCUUCAACGAGGAAUUCCUAGUAAACGCAGGUCAUCAGCUUGCAUUGAUUACGUCCCUGCCCUUUGUACACACCGCCCGUCGCACCUACCGAUUGAAUGGUCCGGUGAAAUCUUCGGAUCUGAGAGAUGUCUGAUUAAUUUCGGACGCCUUUUGGAAAAGUUGUUUAAACCUUACCAUUUAGAGGAAGGUGAAGUCGUAACA
rnacentral:rRNA from 1 species